GACGAACGCUGGCGGCGUGCUUAACACAUGCAAGUCGAACGAUGAAGUUCCUUCGGGAAUGGAUUAGUGGCGAACGGGUGAGGAACACGUGAGAAACCUGCCUUUCAUUUUGGGAUAACACCGGGAAACCGGUGCUAAUACUGAAUACUCCGUCUUGGCGGCAUCGCUAAGCCGGGAAAGAAUUUCGAUGAAAGAUGGUCUCGCGGCCUAUCAGCUAGUUGGUGAGGUAAUGGCUCACCAAGGCGACGACGGGUAGCCGGCCUGAGAGGGCGACCGGCCACACGGGGACUGAGACACGGCCCAGACUCCUACGGGAGGCAGCAGUGGGGAAUAUUGGGCAAUGGGCGCAAGCCUGACCCAGCGACGCCGCGUGAGGGAAGAAGGCCUUCGGGUUGUAAACCUCUUUCAGCAGGGAAGAAGCGAAAGUGACGGUACUUGAAGAAGAAGCACCGGCUAACUAUGUGCCAGCCGCCGCCGUAACAC
rnacentral:rRNA from 1 species